rnacentral:sRNA from 1 species
ACAUGGCAUUUUUCAUAUCAGACCCUUUAUUGGCCCUAGGUCAUGAUAUCAGCCCAAGAGCCGCAGGCUCGAGGGCUGAUAUCAUGAACGAGGGCCGAUAAAGGGUCUGAUAUGAAAAAUGACAUGUAAUGAUC